rfam:Triticum aestivum genome assembly, contig: Triticum_aestivum_CS42_TGACv1_scaffold_272069_3DS
UACAUACUCCCUCCGUCCGGAAUUACUUGUCGCGGAAAUAGAUCAAAAUGGAUAUAUUUAAAACUAAAAUACGUCUAGAUACAUCCAUUUCUCCGACAAGUAUUUCCGAACGGAGGGAGUACAUC